UACGUAGGGACCAAGCGUUGUUCGGAUUUACUGGGCGUAAAGGGCGUGUAGGCGGCUUGACAGGUCACUUGUGAAAUCUCCGGGCUUAACUCGGAACGGCCAAGUGAAACUGUCAUGCUAGAGUGCAGAAGGGGCAAUCGGAAUUCUUGGUGUAGCGGUGAAAUGCGUAGAUAUCAAGAGGAACACCUGAGGUGAAGACGGGUUGCUGGGCUGACACUGACGCUGAGGCGCGAAAGCCAGGGGAGCAAACGGG
rnacentral:rRNA from 1 species